UCUUUCUCAAGUGUUGAAAAUCCUGGCAUACUGAAGAGCAGGUUUCCAGACGUUAACAUUCCUGGGAACGAGACCUUGACUCAGUACGUCACACAACACUUUGAUGACUAUGGGAACGAUGUCGCAAUCAUAAACGGUGUUACCGGGGAGAGUUACACCUAUCUACAGCUGCAAGACUUGAUUAGACGCUUCGGCAGCGCCCUCACGCGGUUGGGAUUCCAACAGCAUGACGUGUUGGCUGUCUUCAGUCCGAACGUGCCAGAAUACGCCAUCGCGUUCUUCGGGGCUACAUCAGUGGGUGGUGUAGUUACGACUGCAAAUCCAACGUACACAGCAGAUGAGCUGGCACACCAGUUACGACAUUCCAAUGCAAAUUACGUCAUCACAGUACCGGAAGUGGCUGAAACUGUGAAAGCAGCAAAAUGCAAAUAUCCAAAC